UACGUAAGGACCGAGCGUUGUCCGGAAUCAUUGGGCGUAAAGGGAGCGCAGGUGGUUUCUUAAGUCUGAUGUGAAAGCCCACGGCUCAACCGUGGAGGGUCAUUGGAAACUGGGAAACUUGAGUACAGAAGAGGAAAGUGGAAUUCCAUGUGUAGCGGUGGAAUGCGUAGAUAUAUGGAGGAACACCAGUGGCGAAGGCGACUUUCUGGUCUGUUACUGACACUGAGGCUCGAAAGCGUGGGGAGCAAACAGG
rnacentral:rRNA from 1 species